GACGAACCGUGCGAACGUUGUUCGGAAUCACUGGGCUUAAAGGGCGCGUAGGCCGGUCGCCAAGUCAGGGGUGAAAUCCUCCAGCUUAACUGGAGAACUGCCUCUGAUACUGGCGACCUCGAGGAAGGUAGGGGCGUGUGGAACUCUAGGUGGAGCGGUGAAAUGCGUUGAUAUCUAGAGGAACUCCGGUGGCGAAGGCGACACGCUGGACCUUUUCUGACGCUGAGGCGCGAAAGCCAGGGGAGCAAACGGGAUUAGAUACCCCGGUAGUCCUGGCCCUAAACGUUGGGUACUAGGUAGUGGACUUACAUGGGUUCACUGCCGAAGCAAAAGUGAUAAGUACCCCGCCUGGGGAGUAUGGUCGCAAGGCUGAA
rnacentral:rRNA from 1 species